UACAGAGGUCUCAAGCGUUGUUCGGAUUCAUUGGGCGUAAAGGGUGCGUAGGCGGCGCGGUAAGUCGGGUGUGAAAUCUCGGGGCUUAACUCCGAAACUGCAUUCGAUACUGCCGUGCUUGAGGACUGGAGAGGAGACUGGAAUUUACGGUGUAGCGGUGAAAUGCGUAGAUAUCGUAAGGAAGAUCAGUGGCGAAGGCGGGUCUCUGGACAGUUCCUGACGCUGAGGCACGAAGGUCAGGGGAGCAAACGGG
rnacentral:rRNA from 1 species